UGAUGAUAGUGAGGGCAAUUUCUAAGUAUUCUCUUAAAUCUCUCCCAAGCUUGGAAGAGAUUCUCUCAUUCUUUCUACCUAAAACUCAGAAUAUCCCUUCUCAAAUG
rfam:Capsicum annuum cultivar Zunla-1 chromosome 2, whole genome shotgun sequence